rnacentral:rRNA from 1 species
UGUGACAUACCAAUUGUUGCCUCGGCGGAUCAGCCCGCUCCCGGUAAAACGGGACGGCCCGCCAGAGGACCCCUAAACUCUGUUUCUAUAUGUAACUUCUGAGUAAAACCAUAAAUAAAUCAAAACUUUCAACAACGGAUCUCUUGGUUCUGGCAUCGAUGAAGAACGCAGCAAAAUGCGAUAAGUAAUGUGAAUUGCAGAAUUCAGUGAAUCAUCGAAUCUUUGAACGCACAUUGCGCCCGCCAGUAUUCUGGCGGGCAUGCCUGUUCGAGCGUCAUUUCAACCCUCAAGCCCUCGGGUUUGGUGUUGGGGAUCGGCGAGCCCUUGCGGCAAGCCGGCCCCGAAAUCUAGUGGCGGUCUCGCUGCAGCUUCCAUUGCGUAGUAGUAAAACCCUCGCAACUGGUACGCGGCGCGGCCAAGCCGUUAAACCCCCAACUUCUGAAUGUUGACCUCGGAUCAGGUAGGAAUACCCGCUGAACUUAAGCAUAUCA